rnacentral:lncRNA from 1 species
GACAUGGUGAGAGUGCUCUGGUCAGCUAGCCAUCUCACGUUUUGUGGAAGAUUGUCUGGUGUUCUGACCUUGGUUGGAUUUAUGCCUACGAAGAUGCGUGGUUUGACAAAAGAUCUACAUCCCUUUCUACAUAGUGGCUUCCUAGGUGAACUCUUCCUUCUUUGACUUUUGACAAUUUCAUCCUCAGAUGGGCAGGCUGGAGGCCUGGGUGACUCUUGGUCAGAGGGAGCAGCCUGGGAGGACUGCAGUUCUAACCCUUGGACAAGGCAAGUGGUGCAGCUGCUGAGCUGGAGAGGUUUUCUUUGUGAAAAAGGCAGCUGAAGUCGCAGAAAGGGAUCUGGACUGAGAAUCAGGAGAAGUGGAUUCAGUUCACACUCAGCCACUUUUUGUGUGACCUUGGGAAGAGCAACUACACUCUUGAUGCCCAGUUUCUUUAUUUGUAAAGGAAACAAUUGAAUAAAGUGAUCUGUACUUUUUCUCCCUGCUUUAAAAUGACUCUCUAGAAGUUAUGAAAAUUGAAAAUAGCUCACAAAAGCCCAGUAACUUUUGCUUUCUUCUUCAUUCUAAGAGAGAAGAAUUAAAGUGAACUUUCCAGUUCAUUGUUACAAAAGAAAAGAAAAGAAAAGAAAAAAAAAGAAAAGAAAAGAAAAGAAAAGAAAAAAAAAGAAAAGAAAAGAAAAGAAAAGAAAAAGGCAUCUUUUCUCUUUGAGAAACACCAAAAUUACUCUGCCCCCUAAUAGUCGCCUGGGUAGAAUUUUCCAUCUUAGCACAAAGCGGCUCGGCUCGACCUGGUUUCAACUAAUCCCUUCUCUGUAUUUAACAAGAGGAACUGGAAGAGUCAGACAGUGUGUGGGAAGACUGAAGAAAAUAAGGAAGGUCCGCAGUUUGGGUCUGGAAUCGAGUCUCCUAUUGUUGAAGGCCUUUGACGCUCAUCCUGACUCCUGA